GUGCCUUGGCAGUCUAAGUUGAUCCUGGCGUAGGAUAGAACGCUAGCUACGAGGACUUAACACAUGACAAGUCGGAGGGCAGCAGUGGGUAGCAAUACUUCAGAUGGCGACCGGCGCACGGGUGAGUAACACGUAUCCAACCUGCCGCUUACUCGGGGAUAGCCUUUCGAAAGAAAGAUUAAUACCCGAUGGUAUAAAGAGUUCGCAUGUUCUCUUUAUUAAAGAAUUUCGGUAAGCGAUGGGGAUGCGUUCCAUUAGAUAGUUGGCGGGGUAACGGCCCACCAAGUCUACGAUGGAUAGGGGUUCUGAGAGGAAGGUCCCCCACAUUGGAACUGAGACACGGUCCAAACUCCUACGGGAGGCAGCAGUGAGGAAUAUUGGUCAAUGGACGAGAGUCUGAACCAGCCAAAGUAGCGUGAAGGAUGACUGCCCUAUGGGUUGUAAACUUCUUUUAUAAGGGAAUAAAGUGAGGGACGUGUCCCUUUUGUAUGUACCUUAUGAAUAAGGAUCGGCUAACUCCGUGCCAGCCGCGGC
rnacentral:rRNA from 1 species